rnacentral:rRNA from 1 species
UACGUAGGGGGCAAGCGUUGUCCGGAAUUAUUGGGCGUAAAGAGCGUGUAGGCGGUCUGUCGCGUCUGCUGUGAAAAUCCGGGGCUCAACCCCGGACUUGCAGUGGGUACGGGCAGACUAGAGUGUGGUAGGGGAGACUGGAAUUCCUGGUGUAGCGGUGAAAUGCGCAGAUAUCAGGAGGAACACCGGUGGCGAAGGCGGGUCUCUGGGCCGAUACUGACGCUGAGGAGCGAAAGCGUGGGGAGCGAACAGG